GGGCCGUUAGCUCAGCGGUUAGAGCAGGGGACUCAUAAUCCCUUGGUCCUAGGUUCGAAUCCUAGACGGCCCACCA
rnacentral:tRNA from 3 species